rnacentral:rRNA from 1 species
UACGGGGGGGGCAAGCGUUAAUCGGAAUUACUGGGCGUAAAGCGUGCGCAGGCGGCUUUGCAAGACAGAUGUGAAAUCCCCGGGCUUAACCUGGGAACUGCAUUUGUGACUGCAUGGCUGGAGUGCGGUAGAGGGGGAUGGAAUUCCGCGUGUAGCAGUGAAAUGCGUAGAUAUGCGGAGGAACACCGAUGGCGAAGGCAAUCCCCUGGGCCUGCACUGACGCUCAUGCACGAAAGCGUGGGGAGCAAACAGG